rnacentral:rRNA from 1 species
GAUGAACGCUGGCGGCGUGCCUAAUACAUGCAAGUCGAGCGAACAGACGAGGAGCUUGCUCCUCUGACGUUAGCGGCGGACGGGUGAGUAACACGUGGAUAACCUACCUAUAAGACUGGGAUAACUUCGGGAAACCGGAGCUAAUACCGGAUAAUAUAUUGAACCGCAUGGUUCAAUAGUGAAAGACGGUUUUGCUGUCACUUAUAGAUGGAUCCGCGCCGCAUUAGCUAGUUGGUAAGGUAACGGCUUACCAAGGCAACGAUGCGUAGCCGACCUGAGAGGGUGAUCGGCCACACUGGAACUGAGACACGGUCCAGACUCCUACGGGAGGCAGCAGUAGGGAAUCUUCCGCAAUGGGCGAAAGCCUGACGGAGCAACGCCGCGUGAGUGAUGAAGGUCCUCGGAUCGUAAAACUCUGUUAUUAGGGAAGAACAAAUGUGUAAGUAACUAUGCACGUCUUGACGGUACCUAAUCAGAAAGCCACGGCUAACUACGUG